GACGAACCGUGCGAACGUUGUUCGGAUUCACUGGGCUUAAAGGGCGCGUAGGCGGGCACUCAAGUCAGGGGUGAAAUCUUUCGGCUUAACCGGAAAAGGGCCUUUGAUACUGGGUGUCUGGAGGGAGGUAGGGGCGUGUGGAACUUCCGGUGGAGCGGUGAAAUGCGUAGAUAUCGGAAGGAACGCCGGUGGCGAAAGCGACGCGCUGGACCUCUUCUGACGCUGAGGCGCGAAAGCCAGGGGAG
rnacentral:rRNA from 1 species